rnacentral:rRNA from 1 species
AGUAACGCGUGGAUAACCUGCCUUACACUGGGGGAUAACACUUAGAAAUAGGUGCUAAUACCGCAUAAGCGCACAGAGCCGCAUGGCUCAGUGUGAAAAACUUCGGUGGUGUAAGAUGGAUCCGCGUCUGAUUAGGCUGGUUGGCGGGGUAGAAGCCCACCAAGGCGACGAUCAGUAGCCGGCCUGAGAGGGUGAACGGCCACAUUGGGACUGAGACACGGCCCAAACUCCUACGGGAGGCAGCAG